rnacentral:rRNA from 13 species
UAAUAAGGGCAUCUGGUGGAUGCCUUGGCGUCAAGAGGCGAUGAAAGACGUGGCACUCUGCGAUAAGCUACGGUGAGCCGAGAGCAGGCUUUGACCCGUAGAUUUCUGAAUGGGGAAACCCCACCCAAUAGGGUGAUCCUGUCGUGAAUACAUAGCGGCAGGAGGCGAACCCGGUGAACUGAAACAUCUCAGUAACCGGAGGAAAGGACAUCAACCGAGACUUCGCUAGUAGCGGCGAGCGAACGCGAACCAGGCCAGUGGCUUAUGCAUAAGAACCGGAACGAUCUGGAAAGGUCGGCCAUAGUGGGUGAUAGCCCCGUACGGGUAGAAAUUGCAUAAGUCCUCGAGUAGGGCGGGACACGUG